rnacentral:rRNA from 1 species
UACGUAGGGGGCAAGCGUUGUCCGGAUUCAUUGGGCGUAAAGGGUGCGUAGGCGGCGCGGUAAGUCGGGUGUGAAAUCUCGGAGCUUAACUCCGAAACUGCAUUCGAUACUGGCGUGCUUGAGGACUGGAGAGGAGACUGGAAUUCAUGGUGUAGCAGUGAAAUGCGUAGAGAUCAUGAGGAAGACCAGUGGCGAAGGCGGGUCUCUGGACGAGUUCCUG